GUCUCCCAUGGCCAAAUAUCUUGUAUAUAAAAUAAAGAAUAUGAGAUAAGGAUAAGAUACCACAUAAAGUAACAAAGAAAAGGAAACAAACAAAGAAAGGAAGAGAAGCUGAAGAUGAAGAUGAAGAAGAUCAUAGUUGUAGUCAUGGUUUUAUGUGUGAUCCUUUCACAUAUGGACAGUGCUGAGGCUCAAUCACCCGACUGCUACGACCAGUGCUCCACUGGCUGUGUUCAAAGCGACACAAGGCUCAUGCAACGUUGUGAUCGCAAGUGCCAGAUCAAGUGCGGCCCAGAUUCUGAUAUUGAUGUGAAUCCAAGUUAAGCCUCCAAACGAAGGAAGAAUUAGCUAGUUUGGGGUGUACCCAAGAUGAAAACUAGUCAUCUUCUCAAGAUCUUCUUCUAUGUUGCAUGCAAAGUUAUAUGACUUUUGAUGCCUUUAAAAAUGUAACUGUUACUAUUUUUGUAGUUUUUUUUUAAUGUUAUUAAUUAUUGAAGUAUUUUAUUUAGUUUAA